rnacentral:misc_RNA from 1 species
AAAAGGUAAGCCUCCGUCUAUUUUGUUGAUUUGGUUUACUCCUAUCAGAUGUUACUCUUAUUCAGUGCUGGUGCUUAAAAAGAAUAAUGAAGCUGGAAUAGUUAGGAAAUCUUGAGAUCAAAGAAAAUGUGCAUGAUUUUUAGUGAGAAAGGAUGUGCAUGGAUUUACUCAAUUUCUUGUUGAAUAUCCAAGUAGAUGUAGCCUAAAACCUAGUGUUUUCUGUCCCUGCCUACAAACCUUAAAGGAUUCAGUUCACUUCGAUUUUCUCUGUGCUCGUACAACACAUACAAUGCUCCACACUUAUUUUCCACAGCACUUGCUCUCAAUUAUAUCCUAACUAUCAACUAGAAAGUUACUAAUAACUUUGUUAUAAGAAGGGUGCCAUGUCUGGCUAUCCUUCAAGCGCUGUUAGUGAUAAUUCCAUUGCUUUCCAUAACCAAGAACAAACACCUGGGCCUAUACAAGAUAAAGAAGGCAUCAUUGUGACUGGAUGGUUUGUCUUUGCAAUUAAGGAAGUCCUUGUACCUAAAACAGAUCACUUGAAGUUGAACCACAAACUUGAAGUGAGCUCUUUAUCUAUGAAGCGGAAAUUGGGCUUAUCUCAAAUCAGAAUGCCAUACGCAUCUCUCUUUUCUCUGUCUAAUCAUCUACUUUCUUUUUAUUAUUUAUAGUUUCUUGUAGCGAUGGCUAUGGGUAGGUACCUGUGAAAAUCAUCAUACUCGAAUUUGAUUAAUAAUUCCAAUACCUGAACCCAUAUUGAACCUACUUAAAAAUCAUCUUAAACUACUCGUACCGUCCCAAACCCUAUUAACAUUGCCCAAAU